GCUAGAAGAAAAGGGCAACCAUAAUGGAAAGGUCGGAAUACCGCCCCAUAGAAGUGACCGAGCCACUGGAACUGGUGGGCAUGGAUCUAGCAGAGGCCUACCCACUAAAAAACAAAAUCAGCAGCUGAGGUCACCAGUUGUAUACUUGUGGGUUU